rnacentral:rRNA from 1 species
GAUGAACGCUAGCUACAGGCUUAACACAUGCAAGUCGCGGGGCAGCAUGGGGGUUGCUUGCAAUCCCCGAUGGCGACCGGCGCACGGGUGAGUAACGCGUAUCCAACCUGCCCUUCACCACGGGAUAACCCGGCGAAAGUCGGACUAAUACCGUAUGUUGUCCAUUGACGGCAUCCGAUUUGGACGAAAGGUGUGGCGGUGAAGGAUGGGGAUGCGUCCGAUUAGCUGGACGGCGGGGUGACGGCCCACCGUGGCGACGAUCGGUAGGGGUUCUGAGAGGAAGGUCCCCCACACUGGAACUGAGACACGGUCCAGACUCCUACGGGAGGCAGCAGUGAGGAAUAUUGGUCAAUGGGCGUAAGCCUGAACCAGCCAAGUAGCGUGCAGGAUGACGGCCCUAUGGGUUGUAAACUGCUUUUAUGCGGGGAUAAAGUGGCCCACGUGUGGGUUUUUGCAGGUACCGCAUGAAUAAGGACCGGCUAAUUCCGU